GGAGACCCUGCCGAUGCCACUCAGGGUCAAGACUCUGGCGCGGUGGAAACUGCAGAGCAAAAGGAAACACAGACAAAAACAGUGAGAAGGAGAGAGAGCAUGUGGGGCUUUGCCAGAGAGGAACUUGGAUGGCAAUCACCUAAGAACUCCAAACUCAGUGCCAGGGCAGACUGGUGUCUAUUUUGCAAUGUCUUCCAGUAGUUGAUAACUUUCUACUUUUAAAAUAAUUGGAAGAAUGUAAGCUCUCAACUAGUCCACUAGUCCCGAAACAAUAGAUACCAGCUGGCAGAGAUAAUAGCUGUCUGGAAGAGAGAGAUACAUACCACAUCAAAAAACAACAAAAAAAGGAUGGCUCAAGUACUCAAAAGGCAGCACUAAAAUAAGGCUAUGUCUCUUCCUGAGAAUACUCUGGACUUCAUUCUCUGAUUAAAGAUCACAACUGCUUCUUCGUUGAGGAAAUCAUGUAUUUCAAAGCCACCAAUGAACAAGGUAAUGGGAUGUAUUGGUCCAGCACUGAUAACAGGUUAUCCUACAAUCAAGUAUACUCUUUCCAGAAAGCUGAGUUAGGUAUGCAACUGCCUUUCUAAGCCAUGACUACAUUGCUAAAUGAAUCAUUGAUUUGGAAAAUCUGAAGUGACCUUCAGCUUGUUCUCCAGCUCUUCCUCAACAGAAAAGAGAGGCAAAAUCAGCAAAAUAUUGGAAAGAGGUAGUUUUUCUAAAGGUAUUUGUGGCAGGUAGAAGAUUGGAGGCCACUCAGCUAUGUGUGUAAGUGUGUGCAGGGAGAAAUUAGGUUCUAUAUUCAGAAGUGACAUUCUUUGUAUUUUCAGUGUGGCUCUAAAAACAGAGCCUUUUUCUUAUAGUUCAGAGUCAGACACUGCCCUUGGCUUCUCAGCCAUUCUAGUAAACUAUUUGUUACUCAGAAAGCCUCAAAUUCUUCAUUGAAUUUAUUUGGACCAGUUUUUGUGCACUUACCUCGUUGGCAUGGUAAUAGUCUUUUGAAUAACCAAUACUGUGAACAAUUAUACAAUUAAAAAUUCUACUUCCAUUAUUAUUCUUAACUUCUCCCUUUAUAUUUUGUUACAGUUAUGAGGUAUGUUUUAUUAACUAUUCUAGACAUAGAUCUAGCCCUGCAUUUACUCAGCACUGCCUUGCUCCUUUUCAUGAGGGGUGAUCUAGUUAGACAUAUCAAUAUUCAAUGAAAUGUAUAGAUUACCCUGAUAAAAUGGCUCAAUGAAGUUCAUGUAAGGUCAAUGGAAGAUUGAGGCAUCAUAUGCACUGAGCCACUAAUUGGUCUCAUACUAGUAGGAUAUAGCUAUCCCCACCCCCUAUAUCUUGAGUCUCCUUCCUCUUAGGUGCUGAGCAUUUCCAAAGGCUUCUCUAGCUGAAGCAGGUAUAAGAAAAUGAAGUGACAUAAAGCAUCAACCCUUAGGUAUAAAUGAUUGGCAAGUCUCAACCUUGCUAAAACUGAGACUUUUCAAUUAGCUAUGCUUAAAAGUUUCUACUGAAUUACUGAAGCCAUAAUUAUGUAUGUAAUUCAAGUUUCCUUUGAGCUGACCUACAAUGAAAGAAGUUACCUAAAUGACCUCUUAGGUCCUUUUCUCUCUCCAGCAAUCAUGGAUACUUUACGAAUCUCAUAAGGAGUACAGCUCAUUUAUUAUUAACACCAUUUUAGAAUGAAGGAAGAAGAGGCUUAGAAAGGUUUAGUAGCAGAGAAGAGAGCAGCCUUCUGAUUUGUGGGUUCCACAUUCUGGAUGCAGAAAACUUUCAGUCAUUCUUAUCUAUUGUGAGGCUUGUACCAGUUUCUCCAUAAACUUACAAAACCAAACCAUUUUGACAAGCUUUGUUCCUGCCUCUGACUUCUUUCAGAUAGUGGCUAACCAUCUUCUCUUGAUGAGUCAUUUUUGCUCUUCCUCAUUCCCUUCUUGAUGUUCAAGUAGGUGAACGUGAUGACUAUAAAAGGCAAGCAAUUAAUAUCUGGGGUUAGGCAGAGCUCUGUAAGCCAAUCUCCAAGAAUGUGCAAGCUCCUUUGUCCUUAACUGUAACCUUGGCACAUGAAAAGCAACUUCCAUUCCGUUUUACCAACAUUUCGGUCAAAGAUCAAUUGCCAUUGUAAUUAUAUCAUAUAUCACAGGAUGGGGAAUCAGUGAGAGGGCAGGCCCUUUAAACUAAUACAUAUCAUUAGCAUUUAAAGAACAUGAAAAACAAAUUGAACAUUAGUCCUCAUGUAAGUCUUUUUUCUAGAGCAAAUAAUUUUCCAAAUUAAAAUGAAUAAAUUAAUGAAAUUGUCACAUGUCUGAGAAUAAACUAGGUUGGUAAUGCCGUCAAGCUCUUAGCAAAGUUUAGCUCAUUGUACUUCUCUGUCUGAUCAUUAUAACAUCUAAUCAAGGGGAGCUUAAAUACUUCAAUGAGCUCUCAAAAUAAAUUUGAUCUGAGCAGCUCAGGUCUCAUGGAUUCCUAGGGUUACUGACUGGGUGAAACAUGUUUUUGUUUUAAUCCCUGUCUCAGCUCAAAGAGGAUUAAUGCCCGUAAUUCUGCUAUCCCCAUUUAAUUGAGAAAUGAAAUUUGAAGAGGCACCUCCUGGAACACUCCACUUUGAAAUAUGACCCAUCCACUGUCUAUAUAAUAAAUCUUCCUCUGCUCUCACACACUUAUCCACAUCCUUCCUAUCCCAAAGAAGGAGGAAAGAAAGUUAUUGUGUGUGUGUGUGUGUGUGUGUGUGUGUGUGUGUUUCUGUGCAUCUAAUCCAAAACACACAAUGUUGUUGUUUUAUUUUUCAAUUUUGGAAUUAUCCUAAUAAAGGCAUUCUCUGGGAAGCUCAGACUGCAUCUCAAACCUUUCUCUGACACUAGCAUCCUCAUUGGAACAAAUAGCCCUUUCACUAAAAGCAAUACAGUUAUUGCAUUCAUGUUAUAUGAUGGUAAUUUUCACUUUUGCUUUCAAUACAACAUUAAAAGAAAAAUUGUCUAUAGGAAAGAAAGAGGCAAUAUACUAUAUCCUGGAACUAAUUCUUUGGCAUCUGUAAAAAAGGGGGCCAUAAUUCUGAAUAGAGGCUCCUGUCCUAAAACAGACCCAAUGCUAAGAUCUAAUAGAAAGGGCACAGAGAAGCAUAAGGAAACUUAAUGUCACUUUCACGUUUUUUGUACAAGUUGAUGUGAGGAUCUAAAGAGGCAAUUUCUGUAAAAUGCCUAGUAGAGGACCAGGCAUAUAGUAAGCCCUCAGCAAAUGCUGGCUGUUAUCAUUAUGUUUUAUAAAGAAUUUUUACAUCUUCCUCCUAAGCCCUGAGGCUUCAUAACGAAGCCUUAUAUAUGACUCUCAAUGGCUCAAUGUCUUUCCUAACCUAAUGUAGAAAGUGACAUACCAUUGCUUCCAACAUAACCUAUUGGUCACAUGGACCAACAUAAGACCAAUGUGGGAUGACCCUGUACAUAAGGGUAAGAAGCAGGCAUCACUUGGGGCCAUCUCAAAGGAAGGUGACCACAACUGCCUAAUGGCAGUUGAAUCCUUUAUCAAGCUACCCUCAGUAACACUUCAGCUUUCAAGGACCAGGUUUUUGUGACUAUUGUGAACAGGAUUUUAGUGAAUGAAGAUAUAUCCCAAAAUAACAUUUCACUUAAAAGUUGAAUAUCUGUUAUCAAUUUACAAAUGCUUUUAUGUUAUAUCUCACUUGAGCUUCAAAAUAACCUUUUAAGACAGACAAGAGUAGAAACUACUCCAGUGAUUUCAUAGAUAAGGAAACUGAAGAUCAGAGAGACUUAAUGAUUAACCUAAGAUUUAAACUAGAUAUCCUCCUAGCAUUCUCAUGGCACUUAUUCUGCUAGCGUAGGCUGCCUUGUAUAUUUUUUAAAUGACUAUCUGUUUAUGUGCUGGUCAUGGGGUUUGCAGCAAAUCACAAGUGUGUAAUUUUUUUUUCUUAAAGGCAUUUAAUCUACUUUCUAAAAAUCACUAGAAUUCAGAAACUGAUACUACUUCUUUUGUUUCAUUAUUUGCCUCCCUGCCCCCAACACUCAUACAUAUUUAGAGACACCCAUGGACACUCAUGAACACACAUAUUCUUCUUUCUAGUCCCUUAUCAAUGGCAAACUAAAGUUAUUUUAGAAUAUACUAGCUGUCAUUGUGCCACAGAGAAACCUCUCUUUCAUGCAAAUUGAUAUAUGUAUAUAAUCAUACAUGUUUAUAUAUAAACUUUGUAGCUUUCCUCCCUCUUUUCUAAAAUAAAUUAUGAAAGGUUGUAUGUUCAGGCUUCACGCAGAAUUUUUCAUUUGAGGGAGACUUUUUCAACCCUUUCUAUUUGAGUUGGUAGCCAUUUAUAUGAAGAGAAAAUGAAUACUAAUGGAAAAUCCUAGAGUGGAUUUGGAAAAUCAUUAUAACAGUUCUGCUAUAGGUUUGGGCCUUUGACAAACCACCUAUUCAAGGAUGAAAAAUCCACUAUUUCUCUUCUGCAUUUCUUUUUCCGAAUACAGCUAGAUUGAAUAACAGGCCAGAUAAAGGAUUCAGAACAAUUGCUUUACUAAGUAAUAGUGAGCCCAUGUUCUAACCAAUGGGACAGAAACUGACCCUCUGUAUCUCUGACACAGUUGCCUUUCAUUGACAGAUUUACAGUGGAGGGGUUGGGAGAGCAGAUGAAUUAAAAAAAAACAAAAGCAAAUCAAGAUCCCCCAUAAAUUUCACGAUCCCCACAUCUUCCACCUCAGCACCUAUUAGAACACCUUACUCUUAAAUUCUGCACAUGUGGAGAUUUAUUUGUAUCCCAGAGGUUUGCUCAGAUGUUUCCUCUGUGCUUUCAAUGCAGGCCCACCCUUUUCUUUCUUCAUAUUAAAACCAUAUAGAUUCUCCUUGAAGCCUUCUCAACUGGUAAUAAUCAUUUACAUCCUUGCUAGUGCUUAUGAUUUUCGAAUUACUUUUAGAUAAUCUAACUCAGCGAUCUCCACACAACCUUAGACACUUAGCCCGGCAAGUAUUGUGCUUUUGCUUUCAUGGAUGAGAAAAAGGAGACUUGGAGUGCUUUGAUUAGCAAACAAGGUUACAGAGCUAAAAAAGGAGUGACACUGGAGUAGAUCCCAGCUUAAAUGAAACCCACUGCUUUACCUGCCCCUAUAGCCUGCAUGAUAUUUCCCUAUUCUGAGUGCUUGGAGCUCUUGGAGUCUCUUACAUCUAAUGUGAUCAUUAAGAGGUACUAACUGUCUGAUUGCUUCUUGUGUGCAGCUAACUCACUGGUGACCCAGCACUUUGGGAGGAUGAGGAGGGUGGAUCACAAGGUCAGGAGUUCGAGACCAGCCUGGCCAACAUGAUGAAACCCCGUCUCUACUAAAAAUACAAAAAUUAGCCAGGCGUGGUGGCAUGCACCUGUAUUCCCAGCUACUUGGGACACUGAGGCAGGAGACUUGCUUGAACCCGGGAGGCAGAGGUUGCAGUGAGCCAAGAUCGUGCCACUGCACUCCAGCCUGGGCGACAGAGUGAGACUCCAUCUCAAAAAUAAGUAAAUGAAUAAAUAAAAAUAAAAUAGAUUGAGCCUCCACAUUUUGCAUGCAGCUUUCUUGGUGCUUGUCCUUCUCCUGUGCUUACUCAAAGAUGGGACAUUGUGCACAAUGAGAAGAGUAUUGGGACCAGUAAGGAAGAAUGAGUCAGAUAUUGUGGGACCUCUUUUUUUGUUGUUUUUUUUUGCUCCCAGAAAUCUUUGAGGUAAGUAACAUAGUCAAUUGAGGUCUGGAGUUAUGUACUCCAUUUAUUCAUUUUUUCUUAACAUAGUCCCUCCUUACUAUGUGAUAUUCUCUGUCCUAGACCUUGAAAAUACAAGUUAAAUAUGGCAUAUUCUUUACCUCUAUGAGCUUAAAAUUGAGUGGGGAAAGUUUCAUUUUUUCUUUGAAAUGAAAACAAACUUAAGUACCGAUAUGCAUGAGAAAAAUAAAUUGUUCAUUUCUUUACCUACAUCUCAUCAGGAGUAAACACAUUCUCUCUCUGGCUAAGCCAAAUAUACCAUAAAUCCCUCCUAAAAAAAUACCCUGAAAUUGAGAAUCCAAUUUUAAUGGCUAAAUUAUAUUUACCUUGAACUGAGCAUUUUCUAUUAGGAUUUACGUAUGCAUCUUGGGGAUUCUGAAUGUUGGACUUUUUUUUCUUUUUUCUUUUAGAUUUUAACCUGAAUGGAAAAGACAAUAUGAGGGUGAUGAAAGACUCUAGAUGGUCCGUCUUGGGUAAGAAGAGAAAAAAAACAUUCAUUCCACUUAUAUCCAAGGUGUUUCACAGAUGAUAUGAAAUACUUUUGAAUGGCUCAGCUCUUUAACUAAUUCCUUUGAUAAAUCCAGGAGUCAGAACUUAGAAAUAUACAAUAGACUUUUUCCUAAUCAGCAAUGGCACAGGUGGAAAUGUGUCCUCUGUGAGUGUAUUCAAUAGUCACUCAAUGGCCUUUGACCAACAUACUACCUUUUAAAAUGCAAGAUCCUGCAGUCAAAAUUUCUGCUCACAUUCUCAGAGCUGUAUCUCUUCAUCACUUAUUGGACUUAAACUCUAUUGUCUUCGGCUGAUUUUUCAUUAGGGUGAAGGGUCAUUGACCAAUCAUUAUGCAUAAAUAACUGGGAAAUUUAGUGGUGAGCCUUCAAUAGUGGAAGUAGCAUAAAAUAACAGCAAUCAUACCAAGCUCUAUUGAGAGAGUCCUCAAUGGAAGUAAUAUGAAUGGGGAUAGGGAACUAGGGGUGAGAGGGCAAUUCCUCUGGGAGUUUCAUCCCAGAGGAGACUUCACUUGAACUGAACUCCAAAGGAUGAACAGAGUUUUGCACUACAAAAAUUGCAUAGAUAUAACAAGCUAACAGAACAAUCCGAGCAGGUAAGAGCCUGGGCCAUGGCUUUGUAUCAUUAUGCAUAGUUUGGAAGAAUAUUAAUAUUGAUUCUCUGUACCAUUUUUGAGUAUAUUCAUCAGAUCCAUUGCUUGGUGUUAAUUGCAUUUUGUCAAACAAGAGCCUUCCACACAAUUUAGGAGACAUUUAAAUACUAGUUGAUAUAUUUUACAAAACUGUAUUCUAUACUCAAAAUCCAGAGUUAAAAUUGAGGCCCAUUUCUUUUCCAUGAUGUAAUACUAUGUUACUUUAGUGGCAAAUUCUCAUAUUCCUUGAAAAGCUCAUCAUCUUGAGGUGACAGUUCAAAACUGCCUUCAUAAAAUUAGGAAGAUCCCAGAAAGCUUGAAACAGAGAACAGUUAUUCCCAUGAUAUAUGAUCUUCCUGGGCCUCUACCUCAUAAACUUCUAACUUCCUUUCAAAUAGUAUAGAAAGGCCGAUUUUUCCUCCUUUGUACACAACAUUCAUUUUUUUCCCCUCUCUCUGGGCUAUUAUUUAUUAUUUAACUUGGUUACUGUAUUAUUUAAAGAAAAAAGCAGUUUGCAAUAUUGCCUGUAUGGGAGAUUCUAUAGAGGGUAAAGUAAUAUUGAUUGCAUUGUAGCUAUUAACUACUGUUCCGGAAACAAGGAAGGAGUAUAAGACACUGAAUCAGGGCAAGAAGUACAUUCACCCUCCUACAAGCUAAAAAAGAAAAAAAAGGUAGCAAACCACCUUCCAAAUUAUUCACAAACUUUAGAAUUUCUUCUUCAAGGUCCAAAGAGCCAGCUUGAAAUGUUAAGAUAAUUGGUGAACUUACAGGAAUAGAAAUGGCCCUUAAGGAACAAAAAAAUUUCUCAUACUUUUAGAGACUGUAAAAAGAAUGACCAAGCUUCCGUAAUUUUGUUCUAGUCCACAUUUUCAACAUUAACUACUAAAUCCUUUAUACAAAUGCACUGUCUAUUUAGACUGCUUUUCCUAGAACCCCAUACAUCUUUUUCUGGUUCUUUCUGAUGAUCAUAUCACCCCUUGAAAAAUCCAGAUUAAAAAAAAAAGUAUGAAUUUACAUACACUUAUAUUCCUUGGUCUUUCUCCAUAAAUAUACCUGGAUCUCUCUGUUUUGGUUGUAAGUGUAGAAGUUGGUGGAAUCCUAUUUCCAGUAGGGGUUAAUUAACCAAAUGGGAAUUCUAUACAUUGGAUCUCACAAUGGAAUAUUUAGAAAUAAAUCUGUAAGAAGGCCUGGGAAGCAUAAAGGACCCAGGGGGAGAAAACACAGUCAAUAAGGCUAGAAAUGGAAGAAUCCCUUUUAAAAAUCAAACUGAGAAAAAAAGAAGCAGAUGUCAAAAGCUCGGUAUGAAGUCAAGUCACAGGGACAAUGAAAUCCAGAGUAGGGAACAGAGGUCAAGAGAUUAGGGGAGGGGUUAUUUUUGGGAAAAAAAUCAAGAAGAGUGUAAUUUAUCACUGACAUUUAAUUGGCCUCCAUGGUGAGAUGCAUGGAAUUACCACCAGUAUUUAAAAGGCUAUAGACAAGGAAGACAGAAUCAAUCAAUCAGAUUUCCAACUGAACUUAUCCCUCUGUUAAGUGUUGUAGCAACAGAAAAUACAUGCUUCCUUAAGGGAAGUUAGAAGACCAAGGUAGCAUAUGAAUCAAUUAGAAAAUACUGUUUCACCGUACAGAAUACUGGUUUCUACAGUCCCUCUAAAACACCCUUGCUCAAAGUGAUUGAUUAGUAAAUACUUGUUAAAUAAACCUAAGAGCUGUUUGUGUUUUCUAGAUUCUAUACACUAUAAAAUUAGAGGGGAGAAGAAAUUUAACAAGGGUAAAGGGCAAGACAGAUCUAAAAGGAGAUGGAGCCUGAACUAUGCAUUUGAUAGUAAAAGAUAGGGGCAACAAGAAGGAAGAGAAGAACAAAUGGGAGAAAAAUGAAAAGGGAUGAGUAAAAUAAUGCCUCAAUAAAUUAAAUCAUUGCUCAGAUGUUAAGCCAAAAUUCCAGAGCCUAAAACCCAGUUGUCUAAUCCUAUUCAUUAGUAUUUCAUCCAAAAACGUACACAUUUCUCUCCUUCACAUAAUACCUCACUUAAAUGUUUCUGGUAUUCAUUGAUGAGUAUCACAUAAAUGUCCUUUCCUACUUGCCCAUGUACAUAUGAAUGAAUCACAAAGCCUUACCCUCUUGAAGCCAGGCAGGUCAGAGCUCAAGAACGACCUUGAACAAGCUAUUCUUUGAACUUCAGUCUCUGCAUCCUGUAAAAGGAGAAGGUUGUAGUCCUCUGUGGUUUUUAAAUCUAAAGCAAACCUUCACCACAUAGUAUUGUUUUUAUUUAAAUGAUUUCAGUCUGAAGAUAUACACAUAUAAUGGUCAAAAUGAAUAUGUUGAUUUCUGUACAAAUUAAUGUUUUUUGCUAUUUGCACUGAUAAAAUUGAAACAAACACAAUGAUAACAAAGUAGCUAUUUAACUUAAUGAUCAUUUAAUUUUUCUUUUGAUAAUGCAUGUUUUUAUCUGGACUAAUACGAUGUAAAUUAUAACCAACAAGUUUUAAAUAUUCUCUCAUUUGAAGCAUCUGCUCAAUGAAGGAGAAUCGCAGAUAUGUGAACUCCUCCUGCUUCUGCUGUUUGUAGGAAGAGGCAGACUUGAAACCCUGCAUUGUCUGUGGCCUAAACAUUGCACAGAUGAUCAAUUUGUGAAAUAAGGGAUUUUUUAUUUGUAUUUGCCUAAAUAGAGAAACGCUAAUGGUGUGUUCCAUCAAUUAAAGAGAAAAGAAAUAAAUCUACCAAUACUACUGCAUUUGUUCAUUCAUAAAUUCAUUCAUUCAUUCCUCAUUCAUUCAUAUGCUAGAUCUUUGUAAUAAAAAAUUGAAAAAAAAUUAAACUCUUCAUUAUAAGUCUCAUCCUAGGAAGACAGACAAGUACACAUAUGAUAAGACAAGAAAAUUAAACUUUCUCAAGUGUUAAAGAGCAAGCACCAUCAUAUGUGUUUUUUAAUAUCACAUUGCGUUUAAUCUAAAUGCGCUAAGGAAACACAGGGCCAACCAGGGAGCUUGAUGUAAGUUUUUUGAUAAAUCUUAAUAGUGAAGAAUGGGGUGUAGAUUGUUAGAAAAAGACAAAUCCAUGGGGAUUUGAAUGUUAUUCGUACUGUUUUGAGUGGACAUAAGACAGUCCUGUGUAACUAGAGAAUAAAGUACGUUUAGCACCGUGAUGGGAGAAGAGAUGAGAAAGAUAAGCUGGAUCAAAUGACUUAAAGGACUUGAAAUCCAUCUUAAAAUAAAGGCUUCUACGAUAAAAAAAAAGGUAACUAAAAUCAAAGUGCCAAAAGGAAUAAGAAAAAGGUAAGUGAAAUCAAAGUUUUCUAUUAUAGAAGGAAAAUGAGUUGUUAUUUAUAAUGAAAAAUUGGAGAAGACAGAAACUGGUUAGGGAGUGGUUGACAUACCCCAUAACAUGAGGAUCUGAGGGCCAAGGUAUUAUGGAGAAUGGAAUUAUGGAGGAUAGGGCGAGACAAGAGACAUUUCAGAGAAAAAAAGCUGUGCUCCACAACCAGCUGUACUAGAACUUGCUAUUGUUCUCUGACGCCAAACCCUCCAUUGGGGUAAGCUAUGUUCAAUCACCUUCAUCUCGUAAGUGUUCAAGUGGGCUUUGCAGGAAAAUUGGUAUCUACUACUUCAGGAGGGAGACUCUUUAACCCAGAAGAAGGCAAAAAAAAAGUUUGAGCUGCCAAGUCUUAUUUGUGUUUAAUGUAUUUUAUCGAAUUAUCUUGAAGACUCAGUUCUUAGUUCUGUGUCAUAAAUAUGAACACUAUAUUUCCUCCAUUUGGGAAUUUUCAGUACUUUCCUUAAAAGGAGGCUAGCAAAAUGUAGUUUUUCUACAAACUCACUUACAUGGGUUGAAAGAGGAGUUUAUUUCCUAAGAUGUACUAUCUUGAAUAUUUAUUUUAGAUAAUUAUUUAUGCUUACAG
rnacentral:lncRNA from 10 species